AAAACGGUCCUUUUCAGGGCCACCAAUUUUUUUCAAAAAAUUCUUU
rnacentral:ncRNA from 1 species